AGCUUUAGCCGCGCGGGGACACUAACCCACCCUCACCUCCGAGAACAGCGCGGCUAGGUGCUCCAGAGGUGCCGCGGGCAGGUCCCCGCAGACCACUGCGCCGCGGAAGCUGUCGGGCCCUGGAGGCUCGGGCCCGGUGCGAAGGAAAAAAAGCGCCUUAGCGCCAGCCAGGCCCGACUCAGGUCCCACCUCCAGCCCGGGUCGUACUGCCAGGCCCCUGGGCCCGGGCCGCACCACCAGCAGCGGCCGCGGCCCCUCGGCAGCAUCGCGGCCCAGGAAGGCCUGGAGCAGCUGCUCCGCCUCAGCACUCCUCGCGCAACGCUCCCAGGCGCCCGCAGCCGGCCGCAGGCUCAUGGCCACGUAGGUCCCCAGGAGUCGCAGUCGUCGGUCGGCGCCGGGUUCCCCAUCCGCGUUCUCCGCCGCGAGCGCGGCCCGCUCCUCCGCGAGCCGCAUCGCGCGCGGCCUCCAGCUGCAUCGGUUUCCCUAGCGACGGGGACGCGGCCAGGACUCACUCCUCUGCUCCCUUCCUAUUGGGCACUGACCCCUGGUCCCGCCCCUUCCAGGCUAAUAAGCGAUUUGUUGACACAAGGGUAGACCAUGCUGACAACUGGGAAGUUACUACCUCAUACGUGAUGGCUCCAGCUAAGGGUUUUCUCCUUCUCCACAUCCACUCUACCCUUCUGCCAUGAUCCACACCAGCUAAGCUCCCCAAUUCCUUGUCAAGUCUUGGCAAAGUCACCAAAGCCAAGACUAAAGAAGCUGAGACGCAUUUUAAAGACUGCCUCGUCUGGACUACUCAUUUUGUUUUAAAUGACAAUGUUGAGAUUUGAAGCGGAGAAAUAAGUUUUUCUAGAUCACAUAACAAAAUUUUGGCAGAGCCAGUACAAGAAACAAGGUCUCCUCACUUCCAGUCCAGUACUCUUCAACGGCAUCCUGUUUUGAUAGGGAUGGGAAAGUUAAGAUGGACAGGGCUGAGGAAGACAGCAGGAUGGGUGUUUCACAAGCCCUUUCAGCUACCUAGAAGCCCAGAUACAACACCCAAAGGUGAAGCAGAAGAAAUCCUUGAAAAGAAGUAAGCAUUGCAGUAGAAUUUUCCAACCCAACUGACAUCAGAGACUUUCAGCCA